rnacentral:tRNA from 1 species
GGGGAUGUAGUGUAAUGGUAACACAUUUCUAUGGCAUAGAAAAGAGUAAAGGUUCGAUUCCUUUCUUCUCCA